AGAACGAACGCUGGCGGCAGGCUUAACACAUGCAAGUCGAGCGCCUCGGCAACGGGGAGCGGCAGACGGGUGAGUAACGCGUGGGAACAUACCCUCCGGUUCGGAAUAACUCAGGGAAACUUGAGCUAAUACCGGAUACGGCAACCAAGAGAGAUUUUGGCGGCGAAAGAUUUAUCGCCGGAGGAUUGGCCCGCGUCCGAUUAGCUAGUUGGUGUGGUAAUGGCGCACCAAGGCGACGAUCGGUAGCUGGUCUGAGAGGAUGAUCAGCCACAUUGGGACUGAGACACGGCCCAAACUCCUACGGGAGGCAGCAGUGGGGAAUAUUGGACAAUGGGCGCAAGCCUGAUCCAGCCAUGCCGCGUGAGUGAUGAAGGCCUUAGGGUUGUAAAGCUCUUUCACCCACGACGAUAAUGACGGUAGUGGGAGAAGAAGCCCGGCUAACUUCGUGCCAGCAGCCGC
rnacentral:rRNA from 1 species